CAUAUACUCCCUCCGUCCGGAAAUACUUGUCAACGAAAUGAACAAAAGAGGAUGUAUCUAGACGUAUAUUAGUUCUAGAUACAUCCCUUUUUAUUCAUUUUGAUGACAAGUAUUUUCGGACGGAGGGAGUACAUU
rfam:Triticum aestivum genome assembly, contig: Triticum_aestivum_CS42_TGACv1_scaffold_061245_1DL